UCAAGCUACAAAGAGCACAAGGGGAAUGCCUUGGCAUCGGGAGCCGAAGAAGGACGCGACUAACUGCGAUAAGCUACGGGGAGCCGUAAGUAGGCAUUGAUCCGUAGAUUUCCGAAUGGAGCAAUCCGACUAGAGUCAUGUCUAGUCAUCAUAUGCUGAAUAAAAUAGGUAUAUGAGGGGAACCGCCUGAACUGAAACAUCUAAGUAGGGCGAGGAAAAGAAAUCAACCGAGAUUCCGCUAGUAGUGGCGAGCGAACGCGGAAUAGGCCAAACCGAGAGUAGUAAUACUUUCGGGGUUAGGACAGAAAUGUGUACACAGAGGUUUAGCAGAAUUGUAUGGGAAGGCAAACCAAAGAGAGUGAAAGUCUCGUAUGCGAAAAACUGAAGUGGCUAUCUGAAUCCAGAGUACCGCCGGACACGAGGAAUCCGGUGGGAAGACGGGGGGACCAUCCUCCAAGCCUAAAUACUAACCGAUGACCGAUAGAGAAGAGUACCGUGAGGGAAAGGUGAAAAGCACCCCGGGAGGGGAGUGAAAGAGAACCUGAAACCUUGUGCUUACAAGCACCGAGAGCCCGUCAAAGGGUGAUCGGGUACCUAUUGUAGAAUGGUCCGGCGAGUGAAUGUUACUGGCGAGGUUAAGCACUUAAGGUGUGUAGCCAAAGCGAAAGCAAGUCUGAACAGGGCGACUUUAAGUCAGUAGUAUUCGACCCGAAACCGGGUGACCUACCCAUGUCCAGGUUGAAGUGGAGGUAAAACUCCAUGGAGGACCGAACCGACUCCCGUUGAAAUGGUAGCGGAUGAGGUGUGGGUAGCGGAGAAAUUCCAAUCGAACCCGGAGAUAGCUGGUUCUCUCCGAAAUAGCUUUAGGGCUAGCCUCGGAAUAGAUUACUGGAGGUAAAGCACUGAAUGGGCUAGGGGCCGAGAGGUUACUGAACCCUAUCAAACUAAGAAUGCCAGAUAAUUGUUUUCCGGGAGUCAGACGGCGUGAGAUAAGUUUCGUCGUCAAAAGGGAAAGAGCCCAGACCCACAGCUAAGGUCCCAAAGUAUAGUUAAGUGGAAAAGGAUGUGGGGUUGCCCAGACAACCAGGAUGUUGGCUUAGAAGCAGCCACUCAUUAAAAGAGUGCGUAAUAGCUCACUGGUCGAGUGACCCUGCGCCGAAAAUUCAACGGGGCUAAAUUAUACACCGAAGCUUGGGAUACCGCAAGGUAUGGUAGGAGAGCGUUCUGUAAGGAGUGAAGUGAGAGCGAAAGCGUUCGUGGACUUUACAGAAGUGAGAAUGCCGGAAUGAGUAGCGAGAAAUAUGUGAGAAUCAUAUUGGCCGAAAGUCUAAGGUUUUUGGAGGAAGGUUCGUCCGCUCCAAGUAAGUCGGGAGCUAAGGUGAGGCCUAACGGCGUAGCCGAUGCACAUACGGUAGAUAUUCCGUAACCACCGAAAGAUUUAAACACAGGGACACCUUGAAAGGGCAUAUCCCGGGAGUUGGUUUACCCGGGCGUAAGGGAUCGAAAUUUGAGUAGAGAAGUAUGUUUGGACGAGGGCGAGAAAAGCUGUGCGUAUAUUUUAGGUGCCCGUACCGCAAACCGACACAGGUGGACAGGAAGAGGAUUCUAAGGCCAACGGGAGAAGGGUAAUUAAGGAACUCGGCAAAUUGACCCCGUAACUUAGGGAUAAGGGGUGCUCAUAGGAAUAUGAGCCGCAGAGAAUAGGCCCAGGCAACUGUUUAUCAAAAACACAGGUCUCUGCCAAAUCGAAAGAUGAAGUAUAGGGGCUGACACCUGCCCGGUGCUGGAAGGUUAAGAGGAGGAGUGAGAGCUCCGAAUUGAAGCCCCAGUAAACGGCGGCCGUAACUAUAACGGUCCUAAGGUAGCGAAAUUCCUUGUCGGGUAAGUUCCGACCCGCACGAAUGGUGUAAUGAUCUGGGCACUGUCUCAAUUACCCGCCCGGCGAAAUUGUAGUACCGGUGAAGAUGCCGGUUACCCGCGACAAGACGGAAAGACCCCAUGGAGCUUUACUGCAGCUUGAUAUUGGGUUUCGGUAAUCUAUGUACAGGAUAGGCGGGAGACUAGGAAGUAAAGGCGCCAGCUUUUACGGAGUCGCCCUUGGGAUACCGCUCUUAGAUUGCUGGAAUUCUAACCUGCGGCCAUGAAACUGGUCGGGGAACAUUGUCAGGCGGGCAGUUUGACUGGGGCGGUCGCCUCCUAAAGAGUAACGGAGGCGCUCAA
rnacentral:rRNA from 1 species